rnacentral:rRNA from 1 species
AACGUAGGAGGCGAGCGUUAUCCGGAUUUACUGGGCGUAAAGCGCGUGUAGGCGGUUUCAUAAGUCGUGCGUGAAAGCUCCCUGGCUCAACCGGGAGAGGUCGUGCGAUACUGCGAAACUUGAGUCAGACAGAGGCAAGUAGAAUUCCGGGUGUAGUGGUGAAAUGCGUAGAUAUCCGGAGGAAUACCAGUGGCGAAGGCGACUUGCUGGGUCUGUACUGACGCUCAGACGCGAAAGCAUGGGGAGCGAACGGG